rnacentral:rRNA from 1 species
UACGGGGGGAGCAAGCGUUGUUCGGAUUUACUGGGCGUAAAGGGCGCGUAGGCGGUCGUGACAAGUCACUUGUGAAAUCUCCGGGCUUAACUCGGAACGGUCAAGUGAUACUGUCGGACUAGAGUACAGAAGGGGCAACUGGAAUUCUCGGUGUAGCGGUGAAAUGCGUAGAUAUCGAGAGGAACACCUGCGGCGAAGGCGGCGCUCUGGGCCGGAACUGACACUGAGGAGCGAAAGCGUGGGUAGCAAACAGG